rnacentral:tRNA from 1 species
CAGAUUAAGUCUAGGGUAGACGUUAUUAUUUACAUUAAUAUUUUGGUUGUUUGAAUCAGCCUAAUUUGA